GGCUUGGUGGCGCAAUGGUAGCGCAUCUGAUUCCAGAUCCAGGAGGUUGCCCGUUCGAUCCGGGUCCAGGUCA
rnacentral:tRNA from 1 species